GAUGAACGCUGGCGGCGUACCUAAUACAUGCGAGUCGAGCGAACGGACGAGAAGCUUGCUUUUCUGAUGUUAGCGGCGGACGGGUGAGUAACACGUGGAUAACCUACCUAUAAGACUGGGAUAACUUCGGGAAACCGGAGCUAAUACCGGAUAAUAUUUUGAACCGCAUGGUUCAAAAGUGAAAGACGGUCUUGCUGUCACUUAUAGAUGGAUCCGCGCUGCAUUAGCUAGUUGGUAAGGUAACGGCUUACCAAGGCAACGAUGCAUAGCCGACCUGAGAGGGUGAUCGGCCACACUGGAACUGAGACACGGUCCAGACUCCUACGGGAGGCAGCAGUAGGGAAUCUUCCGCAAUGGGCGAAAGCCUGACGGAGCAACGCCGCGUGAGUGAUGAAGGUCUUCGGAUCGUAAAACUCUGUUAUUAGGGAAGAACAUAUGUGUAAGUAACUGUGCACAUCUUGACGGUACCUAAUCAGAAAGCCACGGCUAACUACGUG
rnacentral:rRNA from 1 species